UCUACCCUCUCCUGUUUUUUCUCUUCUCCACGUAACAUCUUACUAGCUCCUCGUUGAUCAUAAUACUUGCUCUUAUCGACUCCCCAUCCUUCUUCUACCCGCACAUGCUCGUUGUUCUGCUCCUCAAUUCUCCUGCUCUGCUCUGCUCUGCUGAACUCUGCUCUGCCUUGCACGGUGAAGCCAGCACGCCUCCCUUCUUCUCUUCCCCACACCGAGAAAAUCCAAGCAAGCAGCUAUGGGCCUGAUUGGAUGGGUGGGUAAGGGUGCAGCCCGGCUUAGCUAAUGUAGAUCGGGUUUGUUUGGAUGUCUGUAGAGGCCUGCUAGCCAGAUUUUACCUAAUCCGCGCUGAAGCUGCUACCUUGGUCGCCUUCGUCCAGCACGGUGCUUUUGGUGAUCUUCCCCAACGCUGCAGCACAGCCAGACGCCCUGUUCCUUUCCUCUUCCUCUAUCUGUUCCUGCGACAGCAAGAAGAAAAACAGUAGAAGCAUUGAAAGGUGGGCCAAGGAGGAGUGAAGAGAGGGCGGGCGUGGGCCGAACCCCUGGUCUGGGGUUUGGACGACCCAGGGCCCAGGCUUAACUCCCCUCUAUAUAAGUCAAGGCAAGGCUCCUCUCCAACAGAGCUGCACCAGCAAUGGAUGAACAAUGUGAUUCAUGCCACUCAGGAAGUGAUUGUCCUAACAACAACAAUAGAUUCUGCCCGAACAACUACAGCAGCCAAGGGUGGAACUCAAGGCCAAAUCUCACCUUCGAUCGUCCCUAGGGAGGUAACGAUUUCAAUAAUGGCAAUAAUUUCAGCAAUCAACCUUCCAUUAAUGAUCUUAUGCUAGGUCAAAUAAAAAUUAUUGUAAAUAUCAGUCAAAAGUUCCAUACCACUGAUAAAAUUGUGGAAAAGCAUAGAUUCAAAGAUGAAAUCUCUCUUCUACAUUUUUUUAAUUAUGAAAAAAAUUCCGGCCUUGAUCAUUCUUAUGUGAAUGACUACAGUCAAAAUAGUUACAAGAGUUUUUAGACUCUAUACCUCAAACGAGGGAUUUCACAAAUACAAGAAAAAGAAGCUAUAAGACAAAGAAAGAAACCUAGAAAAUUAAACUUGAAACUUCUUCUUCAUUCCCGCUUCAAUCUUGCAAUGUAUAUUUACGCGUACCAAUCCAGCACAUCCCUCGCUUGCUUAGAAGCUUGAUGUCCGGAUGGUUUGUUGCUUGUCCUCUUACAUAAACCUCUAUCUGGCGCAUGGGUAGAAGGAUAUAUUGACAUUGCCUCCAGGAAAGGAAUGGCACCAAAUGAUGUCACCAAUGCCGACGUCUGCAUUAUGCUGGUCAAGGAUUACCUCGAAUGGUUUUCCGUAUGACCCAACUUUUUACGGACCUGGAAACAGUAGGAUAGCACAUCGACAUAGCCUCUAAUGAGGAAAGCCUUGUAACAAGCAGCACCAUUGCCGGCCGACACAACGCCAACUGAGAUUUCUCCCUGUACUCUCAGAGCCAAGUCUGCAUGGCAGCACAAGAAUGUCGAGUUGUCGACCACCGAUGAAGUUACCUUGCUCUCUGCUACUCGCUACCAGCCAAAUGCCCACUCGCAGACUCAAGUUGGCGACCGGCUCGAGAGCUGAAACUGUUUCCAUCUGCUGUUGCGCCGACCGCUGGGCCGAAACUGGAUCUCCACCCGAAUGGAAUCUGAUGAAGGGGGAGCAGAGCCAUGCCCGCUCACCGCUGCACGGCUCCCCACAGCAGGAGCGGCGCGUCGCCAGAAGCCCCGUUGUGAUGCGCGCACAAGAGACGGCGUCGCAGCAGCACCGGCCGGCAUCCCCGCCAAUGGCACCAACGAAGUGCCCGUUCGAACUACAUGGCACGUUUGGUGCAGCAGCAGCCAUGAGGGGACAGAUCCAGGGUCCACAACCCCGGAUCUAUCAACCAGGAGGUUGCUCGAAGCAAGCAGGAAGACUGAUGGAGCAACUGGAUCUUUAUGGAGAAAAGAGAGAAGAAGGACAUCAAAGAAGAGAUGGAGAAGAUGUGCACGGCCAUCGGCUUCGGCACCGCCAUGGGCCGCCGCCGCCGCCGCCGCCUGCUGGGCGCCGGCGCCGGCGCCCAAGGGAAGGCCCGCGCGAGGGGAGCCUGGAGGCAGGCGGUGGAGUCGCUCAUUCUCGUAAAAAACCAAUUGAGUUUUAGUAAAAUGAUAGAAGCUCAAAUAAUUUAAUUUGCUACAUCCAUACCUUUAACUGAAACGAGAGAAUUCCUAGACCAACUCAAAAAUUCUCCUUGUGAAAUGACAAAAGCGGCGACCAUGAGGGGAUGUAAUUCCACUCGAGGCCCGCCAUAUUCAACUGAUGGAGUCAGGAUAAAGAAGGAAAUACAGGCAAAAGAGAGUGAAGAUGAGGAGGAAUCUGAGGACAACCCCCCAGAAAAAAGUUCCUGAGAAGAAGUCUGAAGAGAAAAUUGGAUGAGAGACAACACCACAUGAUUUCUACUAUUCAAUGGCUCAAUGCUACUACGAUUCCCGAGAAGUAGCAACAAAUCCACUAUGGAUGAACAGUUUGGGAGA